UCCGAUAUGGUGUAACGGCUAACAUUACCGCCUUUCAUGGUGUGCGUGCGCGGUAGCUCGGGGUUCGAUUCCCCGUAUCGGAA